AUUAAUUGUGAUCGAUCGAUUAGAAGAAUCAGAAGUCACGUAUUACGAAUUAAUACGGAUAGAGAAAGCCUCAUUAGAAAUGUAAUAAUAGAAUGGAUAUCUCCACGAGAGAUUUUGUCAUCAAGCCGCAUCUGUCAUCCAUGCUGGCAGAGA